rnacentral:rRNA from 1 species
UAGAUACCCUGGUAGUCCGCACAGUAAACCAUGGAUGCUCGCUGUCGGCGAUAAAUUGCCGGUGGCCUAGCGAAAGCGUUAAGCAUCCCACCUGGGGAGUACGCCGGCAACGGUGAAACUCAAAGGAAUUGACGGGGGCCCGCACAAGCGGAGGAACAUGUGGUUUAAUUCGAUGAUACGCGAGGAACCUUACCCGGGCUUGAAUUGCAGAGGAAAGAUCCAGAGAUGGUGAUGCCCUUCGGGGUCUCUG